AGUGAACGCUGGCGGCAGGCUUAACACAUGCAAGUCGAACGUGAGGGUGUCAGCAAUGAUGCCUGAAAGUGGCGAACGGGUGAGUAAUACGUAGGUGACCUGCCCUGGAGUGGGGGAUAACCACUGGAAACGGUGGCUAAUACCGCAUACGGUUGGAUGCACGGGAGUGCGACCAACGAAAGGUUUACUGCUCUAGGAGGGGCCUGCGGCCGAUUAGCUAGAUGGUGGGGUAACGGCCUACCAUGGCGAUGAUCGGUAGCUGGUCUGAGAGGAUGAUCAGCCACACGGGAACUGAGACACGGUCCCGACUCCUACGGGGGGCAGCAGUGAGGAAUAUUGCACAAUGGGCGAAAGCCUGAUGCAGCAACGCCGCGUGGAGGAUUGACGGUCCUUGGAUUGUAAACUCCUUUUCUUCGGGACGAGAGAGGACGGUACCGGAGGAAUAAGUCACGGCUAACUACGUGCCAGCAGCCGCAGUAA
rnacentral:rRNA from 1 species